rnacentral:lncRNA from 1 species
CUCUCUCCAAUUUCUCACACAUUACAAAAAUAAAAAUAAAAUAAAGCAAUCUCUCCACACACUGCACGUUUCCGUCUCCCGCCUACACUCAUCACACACGUCUCUCCCUACCUACCUACACGCCACCUUCACUUUCUCUUUUCUGUCACUCUCAUUAAAUCCUCAACAUCACCUCUCUUGACUCUCUCUCUUGGAAAGAGGAACGGACAGAAAAACGAGUUAUGGGAAAAAGAAAUCUUUUUCUCUACACAAAUCUUUUUCUUCUUCCAUCAACCAAAAUCAUUGCUCCAUCAUCUUCCACACCUCGCUACUCCCUCACCAUCCACCUUGUUCAAACUACCUCAACCCCAUUGUGAAACCAUUCCCGUGAACCACCCACUAACACCUUUCCGGCGACGUCGAUAAUCACUUUUUCACCCAAACAACCGCCGCCGCGAAAUCCCGAAAAACACCGCUCACAACCAUUUCACUGUGAAAAACCUUUCCUUCUUGGAUCCAACCACACAUCAUCACCGUCGCCAACCUUGACCUCUUCUUCCUCCUCGGCCGCGAAACAACUUCGCGCUUCACAUUCCCUCCGUCCAUAAACCCACUUCCCCGCCUUCCAACAACAGUUCUCACAACGUUCAAUUCGAAGCUUUGACUUCAAUAUACACAGGAUCCAGCACGCGCGAUAAUUCUCUUAUGUGUUUUAGAAAUUGUUUCUGGUGUGGAUCUGCAGUUUGUUUAUGGGUGUAGCGAGAUGCUGAAGUCAAUUUUCUGAGUUGUUUUUGACAAGACGAAACCAUCCUCAAUGCUGCGAGAUUAUAAUAUUGUGUUUAUGUCCAUUCAAUAAAAGUAAGGGUGCUUUGUUGAUGUUGUAUUCGGUUCGUAUUUACGGUUCGAAGUUGUGGUAACAAUCUGAAUCAAGCUUGCAUUACUGCUAUGCCGUGAAGUUCGGAGCAGUCAACCAAUGAAUAUUAGUCUUCUCUACAUUUAAGGUGACUAUUUUCAUGACCAAUAUUUAAGAUCUCCAAACUCUUGUUUGAAUGAUUCUCACGGCCGCUUGAAUGCUACAACAACAAGCUUUAAAGCUUUAGUUUUACCGUCAUUGUUAAUAUUUCAAAUUCCACACGUAUAUUGCUCAAAACGUAGGAAGAAAUGUGAUUUAUUUUGUUUUGAGUCUAUCAUGUUUAAUUGAAAUAUAGUCAUUGAGUUGCUGAGUUUUUAUGGAGUCAUUAUGCUUAAAUGUUGUGGUGCAUUUUAAUGUUUCGGUUAUAUAUUAGAUUCCUGAUUCAUUUUUGUUUCAUUAUUGUUGUUUCAUUUUGUUGAAAGUUUGAGUCACUAUAAUAAUUCAUCUUGUUAUCAUUGUCGUUGUGUUGUUGUUCUUGUGAGUUUGCAGCUAUUGGUUUGUUUUGUUCUAUGAGAGUAUGGACGUUGAGUUUCCUUAUGUUAUUUGAAUUCAUGAUGAAUAAUAAAACUGAGUAGAAUAUAUAUAAGAGUUGAUUCAAGUCUAUUUCUCAUGCAUUUGGUGUUAGCUCUAAAUUUGUGUGUUAG